rnacentral:tRNA from 1 species
GUGUAGCUCAAUGGUAGAGUGUUUGCCUAGCAUGCACAAAGCCCUGGGUUCAAUCCGCAGCAC